rnacentral:rRNA from 1 species
GAGUUUGAUCCUGGCUCAGGAUGAACGCUGGCGGCGUGCUUAACGCAUGCAAGUCGAGCGAAGCAUUUAAGACGAUCUCUUCGGAUUGAGUCUUAUAUGACUGAGCGGCGGACGGGUGAGUAACGCGUGGGUAACCUGCCUCAUACAGGGGGAUAACAGUUAGAAAUGACUGCUAAUACCGCAUAAGCGCACAGGGCUGCAUGGCCUGGUGUGAAAAACUCCGGUGGUAUGAGAUGGACCCGCGUCUGAUUAGCUAGUUGGAGGGGUAACGGCCCACCAAGGCGACGAUCAGUAGCCGGCCUGAGAGGGUGAACGGCCACAUUGGGACUGAGACACGGCCCAGACUCCUACGGGAGGCAGCAGUGGGGAAUAUUGCACAAUGGGGGAAACCCUGAUGCAGCGACGCCGCGUGAAGGAAGAAGUAUCUCGGUAUGUAAACUUCUAUCAGCAGGGAAGAAAAUGACG